GCUAUCCUUCUAUCUCAGCCUCUUGAGUAGCUGGGACAACAGAAUGCUACUACUAAUAGCAGUGUUCUAGAUUUUCAUCCACCAUCAUGGAUAAAGCUCUCCGUCAUGUGGAUGGUCUAUGAUUCAUGCAAGAAGACAGAACCAAUGUUUUGCAAGACCUUCCCAUGAAGUAGAAAGAACAGUAGUGUUCACUCCAUAAGAGGCGUGCGCUACCACUUGCCUUGCCUCAUGGGCAAUGAGGAAGUUGCAUGGGUUUCCUACGGCUCUGCAGGGGUGGAGUGAGCCAGAAAGAACUGGUCAGCCCUAGACAUUCAGGUGCUAUCAAAUACCAGCCCUAGGGUCAAGAACACUUAAAAACAAAACAAACUUGAAACUUCCUUUGCUUGUGUUGCUUAGAAUCACUGCGGUAGGAGGAUUCCUGAGGCAUUACCUGGAUAGUCUCAUCUGGCUGGACAUGCAGGAGAACUGGGAGACUGCCGAGACUGCCACGUGGGGUGACUUGAGGGAUCUUUGACACUCUCUGUCUUAAUCUGUUUUGUGUUGCUAUAACAGAAUACACAGACUAAGUAAUUUAUAAAGAAAGGAAAUUUACUUCUCACAGUUUUGGAGGCUGAGAAGUCCAAGACUGAGGGGCUGGCAUCUGACGAGGGCCUUCUUGCUGCUUCAUUCCACGGCAAAAUGGCAAAGAGAAGAUGAGAAGAAAGGCUCAAAGGGACGGUGGGACUUGACUGAGGACCCAGCACCUCCUGGACCUGAAUCAAGGCCCUCUGUCCCGCUGCUUUUGUUGUUGUUUACCCUGCAACUUCACAGCCCUUCAGAAGGCCCUGGACAUCAUGUGCAAGCUCCGUGGAUGGCCUGAGAUUCAUCCUUCCAAGUUGUUUUCUGACUGAGAGGCAACAUUUUAAAUUGUGAUCCCCCCUUACCCCACCACACACACUGAAACAAAAGUUUCAAGAAGUCAUUACCACACAAUGACUCAGAUAUGUUCUAGUCUAGUCUGUCUAUUCCAUUCCAUUCCAGUCUCUUUCCAAACGAAAAUAAAAGGAAGGAAAUGCUGCAUGCGACUUGGUAAGUUAAUUUCAGGACACCUUGGGACUGCUUCCUGCUGCAUGAGGCAUCAGCACACAGCAGGGGAUAUUUUGCAUUCCUGUGUGCACCGUGGGUUAGACAGGCUGCUUGGCCCUAAGUGGAGAAUGGAACUCCAGUAGAAAGGCUGAGAUGCACUGCAAGUAACCACUGCAGAAAGGAGAGGAUGCCCACAGGCAGGCUGAAGUGGACCCGUGUGGAAGGAACACUUCAAGACCACUGGCCAAGAGACUUCCUUCAUUUUUAUCCCUUCCUGUUUUUCGCCUGUGCUGAGGAUUCACCACCAGUGUGGGGAGCCUCUGACUGUAAAAGGAAAGCUGACUCUGGCUCCUUCGUGUUUUCUGUUAAGUUGGGGCCUAAGUUUUUCUGCCAGCCUUUGCGGAGGAAAUGCAGCUUCCCUGGCACACUGCCCGGUCAAGGGACGUUGAAUCCAUUGCAAUCAGCAGUUGAAGAUCCACACUACAGGCCAUGUUCUUAAAAUAAGUGGCUCCAGGACUUCCAAGAGGCAGAAGGGGCUUCAGCUGGCCAUGGGCAGGAUCCAAGUGGAGCUUCAUCCCUGCAGAGCAAUGCCUGGCUCUCAGCGGAGGCAGUCUGGAGCAGGGCUUCUACCCUUUUCAGCUCAUAGAUUACUUUGGAAUCUGAUGAACACUGGGAGCCUUCUCCUUAGAAGAACAUACAUAUGCACGAGAAUGAGACAAUUACAUAACAUUCCUUGGGUUUCACAGAUGCUGAAGCCAAUGACUUGCUUGAAGCCUGGAAGAGGGUGUUGACCUGGAGAAUCCUAAAGGCCAAAAUUUAGAGAAAAUGGUGCCAGUAAAUGAAUUCACAAGGAGAAAUGCUUCCUUGCCAACUCACUUCUCCAGAUUAUUGAGUGCAUCUAUCUGUUUGCUUUUGGCUUCACGCAAUUGGCCCUCUUCAGUUCCGUACUCUUUCCUAAAUACCUUGCAAGUUUUCCUCUUCUCUCAUGCCAUUUAUAAUAUGCUGACGCCUGAUUAGAGGAAGGAAGGACUCAGCUGCACUUGCACUGGGGGAAGGGCCACUUACAGGAAGCCUACCUGGGGCUGAGCUGGGUCUCACUGCCUCCUAGACCUAAGGGCCCCAGCUUUUCCCUCAUCUCUUGUUGCAGCCACCACUUGUUCUAGAUCUGCAUCCAUAUCUGUAAAAUGGGGGUGAUAAUACCUUCCCAUAAAGUCACUGUGAGGAUUAAAUGUCCGGCACAAUAUUUGA
rnacentral:lncRNA from 1 species